AACCAACAAAUGAAAAUAAAGAUCAUUGAAAUGAUAACCGAGAUAAUCUGAAGUUGGAUGGGUCGUCGUUUUACCGGCCAACAGUGUCAUACGAAAGUGCGUUACAAUUAGGAUACAAGUUUCAUUACGA
rnacentral:lncRNA from 1 species